AUACGGAGGAUCCGAGCGUUAUCCGGAUUUAUUGGGUUUAAAGGGUGCGCAGGCGGCCAUUUAAGUCAGCGGUUAAAUCGUGGGGCUCAACCCCAUUCUGCCGUUGAUACUGGGUGGCUUGAUUGCGGUCGAGGUUGGCGGAAUUCGUUGUGUAGCGGUGAAAUGCAUAGAUAUGACGAAGAACACCGAUUGCGUAGGCAGCUGACCAGACCGCAAAUGACGCUCAUGCACGAAAGUGCGGGGAUCGAACAGGAUUAGAUACCCUGUAGUCCGCACAGUAAACGAUGGAUACUCGCUGUCGGCGAUAUACGGUCGGUGGCCAAGCGAAAGCGUUAAGUAUCCCACCUGGGGAGUACGCCGGCAACGGUGAAACUCAAAUGAAUUGACGGGG
rnacentral:rRNA from 1 species